rnacentral:lncRNA from 1 species
CCUUUUGCAGAUAGGGAUCAGCCUAGCGUGUAGUCAGUGACGCGUUCGGUCCACCAUGAAUAGGUAAAGGCAUCUCCUAGCAAUUUAUUCUGAGUCGCUCCGCUGUUAGAGGUCAAGUCGUAGCAUUUUAUUUAUUAAGUUGUAAACAAAUUCUAAAUUUUUAUAUAAGCAUUAAUUUGGAGAUUAUAGAUUUUAAUGCAUAUACUUACGAAUAAAAGGAAAAAGUUUGUAUUGAUUUUUAUAUUUAUGGUUCAAUUUAGUAUAUGAAAGUAUCAAUAUUAUAUGGUG